rnacentral:rRNA from 1 species
GACGAACGCUGGCGGCGUGCCUAACACAUGCAAGUCGAACGGAACGGCCCUGCCUAUGUGCGCUGCUCUAGUGGCGAACGGGUGACUUACACGUGAGUACCCUGUCAUUGACCUUGGGAUAACCUAAGGCCACUGAGGCUCAUCCCGGCUAGGAUCUCCUGCCUUUUGGUGGGGGCUGGAUAGUUUAGGUGGUUGGGGAUGGACUCGCGUCCUAUCAGCUUGAUGGGUGGGUAGUGGCUUACCAAGGCUUGGACGGGUAGCCGGCCUGCGAGGGGGACCGGCCACGUUGGGCCGGGGAUACGACCCAGACUCGAACGGGAGGCAGCGGUGGAGAAGGUUGCACAAUGGGCGGAGGGCUGGUGCAGCAACGCCGCGUCCGGUGUGACGGCCUGCGGGUUGUAAACCGCUGUCGCCUUUGACGAAGCGUGAAUGACAGUAAUGGGUGAAGAAGCACCGGCUAACUACGUG